rnacentral:rRNA from 1 species
CAGCGGGGGGAGCAAGCGUUGUUCGGAAUCACUGGGCGUAAAGGGCGUGUAGGCGGUCAAGUUAGUGGGAUGUGAAAUGCCUCGGCUCACCCGAGGACCUGCAUCCCAAACUGCUUGGCUUGAGUGACGGGAGAGGAUGAGGGAAUUCCUGGUGUGCGGUGAAAAUGCGUAGAUAUCAGGAGGAACACCGGUGGCGAAAGCGCUCAUCUGGCCCGAUACUGGACGCUGAUGGCGCGAAAGCCUAGGGGAGCGAACGGG